UACAGAGGAGCCAAGCGUUGUCCGGAUUGACUGGGCGUAAAGCGCACGCAGGCGGAUGCGCGCGUGGGGUGUGAAAUCUGGCCGCUUAACGGCCAGGCGCCAUCCCAUACGGCGCGUCUGGAGUGAUGCAGAGGUCGGUGGAAUUGCCGGUGUAGUGGUGAAAUGCGUAGAUAUCGGGAGGAACACCAGUGGCGAAGGCGGCUUCCUGGCCUGUUCUUGACGCUGAGGCGCGAAAGCUAGGGGAGCAAACGGGG
rnacentral:rRNA from 1 species